GAUGAACGCUGGCGGCGUGCCUAAUACAUGCAAGUCGAGCGAACAGACGAGGAGCUUGCUCCUCUGACGUUAGCGGCGGACGGGUGAGUAACACGUGGAUAACCUACCUAUAAGACUGGGAUAACUUCGGGAAACCGGAGCUAAUACCGGAUAACAUGUUGAACCGCAUGGUUCAACAGUGAAAGACGGUCUUGCUGUCACUUAUAGAUGGAUCCGCGCCGCAUUAGCUAGUUGGUAAGGUAACGGCUUACCAAGGCAACGAUGCGUAGCCGACCUGAGAGGGUGAUCGGCCACACUGGAACUGAGACUCGGUCCAGACUCCUACGGGAGGCAGCAGUAGGGAAUCUUCCGCAAUGGGCGAAAUCCUGACGGAGCAACGCCGCGUGAGUGAAGAAGGUCUUCGGAUCGUAAAACUCUGUUAUUAGGGAAGAACAAAUGUGUAAGUAACUAUGCACGUCUUGACGGUACCUAAUCAGAAAGCCACGGCUAACUACGUG
rnacentral:rRNA from 1 species